rnacentral:rRNA from 1 species
GACGAACGCUGGCGGCGUGCUUAACACAUGCAAGUGGAGCGACGAACCAGGGCUUGCCCUGGGGCAGAGCCGCGAACGGGUGAGUAACACGUGGGUAACGUGCCCCAAUGAUCGGGACAACCCGGGGAAACCCGGGCUAAUACCGAAUGUGCUUCCCUCACACCAGUGAGGGAUGGAAAGGAAGCUUCGGCCUCCGCAUUGGGAUCGGCCCGCGGCCCAUUAGCUUGUUGGUGAGGUAACGGCUCACCAAGGCUGCGAUGGGUAGCUGGUCUGAGAGGACCAUCAGCCACACGGGGACUGAGACACGGCCCAGACGCCUACGGGAGGCAGCAGUGGGGAAUCUUGCGCAAUGCGCGAAAGCGUGACGCAGCAACGCCGCGUGGGGGAAGAAGGCCUUCGGGUUGUAAACCCCUUUCAGGAGGGACGAAGCCCGGACCGUUAAUAGCGGUUCCGGGUGACGGUACCUCCAGAAGAAGCCCCGGCUAACUACGUGCCAGCCGCCGCGGUAAAAC